rnacentral:rRNA from 1 species
UACGGAGGAUGCGAGCGUUAUCCGGAAUCACUGGGUUUAAAGGGUGCGUAGGCGGGUAUAUAAGUCAGAGGUGAAAUCUGGUGGCUUAACCAUCAAAUUGCCUUUGAAACUGUGUAUCUUGAAAUAUGGUGAGGUUGGCGGAAUGUGACAUGUAGCGGUGAAAUGCAUAGAUAUGUCAUAGAACACCAAUUGCGAAGGCAGCUGACUGGCCAUUAUUUGACGCUGAGGCACGAAAGCGUGGGGAGCGAACAGG